rnacentral:lncRNA from 1 species
UGCGGGGAUGGGGCUAGGAUUAAAAAUGUAAUAAAUUAAAUAAAAAUAUGGGACUAAACACACAUAACGACAAGAGAGACAACACAACAUAACCUACGACAACAAUGUAUGGCAGCAACACAUGACAACACAGCGUGGUAACAACACAUGACAACACAGUGUGGUAGCAACACAUGACAACACAGUGUGGUAACAACACAUGACAACACAGUGUGGUAGCAACACAUGACAACACAGCGUGGUAACAACACAUGACAACACAGUGUGGUAGCAACACAUGACAACACAGCAUGGUAGCAACACAUGACAACACAGCGUGGUAACAACACAUGACAACACAGUGUGGUAGCAACACAUGACAACACAGCAUGGUAGCAACACAGCAUGGUAGCAACACAUGACAACACAGCAUGGUAUGAACUCAACAUGACAACAACACGGUAGCAACACAACAUGGCAGAAGCCCAACAUGGUAGCAGGUACAAACAUUAUUGGGCACAGACAACAGCACAAAGGGCAAGAAUGUAGAGACAACAACACAUCCCGCGAAGCAGCCACAACUGUAAUUUGUAAAUCCGUUGUGGAUUGUUGUCCUCUGUUGACCUCUGAUUCAGACAGUGGCUCUAAGUUGUGGAGUGUUGUCCUGUGUUGACCUCUGAUUUAGAUGGGGCCAAUCAAUUGUGAAGUGUUGUCCCGUGUUCAACUUUUGACUCAGACAGAGGCUAUCAAUGCUGUACUGUUGUCUUGUUUUGAACUCUAAUUCAGUUGUGGAGUGUUGUUCUUUUCCAGAGGAGAGUAGGCAGCCUGGGGUAGAGGAGACAGCCUGGGGUAGAGGAGAGUAGGCUGCCUGGGGUAGAGGAGAGUAGGCUGCCUGGGGUAGAGGAGAGGAGGCAGCUUGGGGUAGAGGAGAGGAGGCUGCCUGGGGUAGAGGAG